AACGAACGCUGGCGGCAUGCCUAACACAUGCAAGUCGAACGAGACCUUCGGGUCUAGUGGCGCACGGGUGCGUAACGCGUGGGAACCUGCCCUUAGGUUCGGAAUAACUCCCCGAAAGGGGUGCUAAUACCGGAUAAUGUCUUCGGACCAAAGAUUUAUCGCCUUUGGAUGGGCCCGCGUUGGAUUAGCUAGUUGGUAGGGUAAAAGCCUACCAAGGCGACGAUCCAUAGCUGGUCUGAGAGGAUGAUCAGCCACACUGAGACUGAGACACGGCCCAGACUCCUACGGGAGGCAGCAGUGGGGAAUAUUGGACAAUGGGCGAAAGCCUGAUCCAGCAAUGCCGCGUGAGUGAUGAAGGCCUUAGGGUUGUAAAGCUCUUUUACCCGGGAUGAUAAUGACAGUACCGGGAGAAUAAGCGCCGGCUAACUCCGUG
rnacentral:rRNA from 1 species